AGCAGAUUGUGGCACGCCACAUUGCAAGCGCCGCCUCAGUAUGCACAUCAGGCUCCUCCGAGAUGCUCUCCCCCGAUCACCCCACAGCUUUCAAAAGGUUGACCGUGUCAAAAUCUAGAUAUCAAACACUGAGCAUGAAAGACAAGCUACAAGAUGUCUCUCAGACUCCCAAGUGCUGCACUGUUCUCUCCGGACAUGGGUGCAUCCCUGUGAGCUGCCCUGGCUGCAGCCCUCUGAUUGCAGUCCUGCUGCCCUGCUGCAGGUCGCAGCCCUACGGCCCAGGGUUGGCUCCACAGCCUCUCUGCUCUGCCCAGGCCAGCUACGGAGCAGGAGCUGUCUGGGGUAUGAAGGCAGAAGCGAGCAUUGGAUCUGUUCCCACAAGGUUUAAUCAGCCGCACGUGUGCCCGUGCAGACAAAGAGCUGUUGUCCAUGAACUGAAUCUCAAUGACCCUUGCUCUCCUCAGACAAAAUUGAGCAUCUCUUCAUAUUUUACUUGGAACAGCUGUUAAUUGCUCUCAGUAUUGUUGUUCUGCUUGGAGUUGGUGGUCCUCUCCUGCUUGGUGUGCAUCACCUCUGUAUUGGUGGGCAGGCUUUGAAGCCACCCUCUUUAAUUGUAAUUCAACUACUUGUGAUAUUUUGGUACCAAUUAAUAUUGAUUUUACAAUUGGUUUACAGAGAUGUUGUUUUAUUACUAAUAUAUUUAAUGUGCAAAUCAAUAAGAACACUUGUUUGGCUCUCUCCCUAGAAGGUAAUAAAAUCAAAUAUCUCGAGAGUAAAAUGCUAUCUGAUCCAUAAAUGGCAGCAGCAGAUGCUUAAUGUAAUAGUUAAAGACUAUGCAGCAUUCUUGGCACCUUCCAUGCAUUUUCCACAUACACUGUACUAAAGUGACACUCAAUAACUUGCUAGUUACAAAAAGUUUGGAAAAUUUGUUGGCACCACGUCAGCCCAAAUAAAGACUCCAGUGCCAAGGAAUGGUGCCACGUGGACAAACCAGAUGUUCCCAACUGCUCCUGGAGGCAACGUGGGCUGCAGAGGUUCUUCUGGGUUUCCCAGAUGUGGAAUCCAUAGCAGAAGACAGAAGCACUCUGAUGCCUCUCCUGCUUCCUGGACCCCAGAAGUGACACCACCUCGGUUGUCCUGCGCUGCCGGCAGUGCUGUGCCACACCACCAUGGAGCAGCUCCUCCGUGCUGGGGUUUGUGACAUGUACUAACUGCAGCCCCUGAACACAGAGAGGGAAUUUACCUUUGGCUACUGAAGAUGAUUUAUGGGUGAGCAAAUAAUGAACUUGGCAAACAGUGCAUAAUAAAGAGAAAAAUCUUACACUUUUAAUUAGCCAAAAAUAAAUGACUGAGCAUGGGAUUGAAUCCAUUGUCUUUGCAUCUCAAGUUCUUCAU